CCAGUUUAAGAACCCAUUGUGGCCCUUGAGUCAAAAAGUUUGCCCACCCCUGCUCUAGAUUAUUGCAGCAGGAGUAGACAUUUGACCCAUCCUGAGCCAAACAGAUUGUCACACUAGAGAAUCAGAAGAGAGACAGAUUUCAUAGUCAGGAUGGUGUUGGGCAGUGAAGCAGUGGGUCAAUUGGAGUUGAGGCCAAGGUCAGAGCCAUGGACAUGGGGGCCUCAGCCAAGGCCUGGCUCUGGUUAAGGGGAAAGCAGAGCCAUGUGCUUUACAGAGGCCAAGUGUCUUAGAAGACACCAGUAUGACAUCCCAGAGAAAAGAGGCACAGAGAAGCAGAGAAAAGUUGAUCCUGAGACCCUGGAGAUAAAAGAGUGGAGGCCCAACCAUUUUUCCACUUCCUGCCAUUGUGCUCUGUAAAAAUCCACUCUACCCAGAUCCCUUUUUCUUUAAGCUAACUGGAGCUGCUUACUCUUCUGUGGAACCAGAUUAUUUCAAAGUCAGAAAUUGGCACCAGAAGAGCAGUGACAAACCACAGACUGUCAAAGAAAAUGUCAGAACUGGCCAGGGAGAUACCUCAGUGAUUGAUGGGUAGUUGGGAUUCCUGCUCCCAAGAGUAUCCAGGGAUGAACUGAACAAGAAGCUCAUUCAUGUUCUGAGUGAGUUAUAUCAGAAGAAAUAAUCAAAACAGGCCUGGGGUUUACACCCCCGCCCCGGGCUUACAACAGUAGAGAUUUGCCACCCCUAAGAGAAUCCCUCAGGGCUAUCUACAGAAGACACCACACCAGCUACAGUCGAGAAGGACUGCUGUGACUAUUCAGCCCAUGACAAGAGAAUCCUCCCCAGUUCCCAGUGAGCAGAACUGGGGACAAUCAAAUGUGAACGUGGAACAAAAGCCACUGCCAAGCCCACAGGUGGAAGGAUGGUGAGGAGUCACACCAGACUGAGACACCAGGAGGAGCCCAGGACAUCACCUGGCCACCAUGGACCUAGAGACUGAAGUUGUCAUGGCCCUGCGACAUCUCUGCAGCAGCUGCAUGUGACUGGGCUAUUUCCUUUUGGGGCAAGUGUGGAUAACCAUCAGAAUUGGGGACAAGAUACCUAGCUUGUACUUAUCAGAAAUAACCUUGGGCUUGUUUAUAUCCUUCUAGGGCAGGGCUUCCCAAACUCAGCACUCUUGACAUUUGGAGUUGGAUAAUUCUAUGUUGCAAAUGGCUGGUACACUGUAGGAUGUUUGACAGAAUCCCUGGUUUCUACCCUGAUGCCAGUAGCACAUCCCCCAAGUUAUGACAACCAGAAAUGUUUCGAGAUAAUUGCCACAUGUCCACUGGUGGGUAAAAUUGUUCCUCACGAGCAACCAUGGAGGCAAUGAAAUACUUAAAAGUAUUCAGAAUAGGGUGAAGAGAAGUGCCAGGGGAGCAAGUCAGCGGUGCCCAGGGCUGCAGGGGGCCUGUAAGACAGGAGGUAAAAAGUGUUCAUUGGGUCUGGCAUUCACUUUUGAUCUUUGAGCAAAUCUGGGUGGGGGAGAAGCAGAAGCCAAACUGACAGCACUGAGGAGAGAGGGAGCAGGAAGUAAGGAAGUACAGUCAGUGAAGGGGGCUCUUCAAGGACUCCUGGCUGUGAAGGGAAGGAGUGAUGUGAGAUACAUAGCUGAGAGAGGGUUCUUUUGACUAUGGGAGAAACUGGAGCCAUGGGGAAGGAGACAGCUGAAGAAAGCUUGAAAACACAAGAAAUAUAUAAAAGAUUGGGACAGAUCCUGCCCUACUGUAUUGGAGGACUAUCUAUUCUACUGUUCAAAAAUAUAUGAAAGGUCAAUUUUGUUUUUUGUGAAACAAAACCCCCAAAAGUAUUGUGUAUAUGUAUGCUAUGUAUAUUAAUAGAUGUUUUGUGUGCCUUAUGUUACAGAUUUAUAUUUGAAUAAGCAAAAAAAAAAAAAAAGACGUAGCAAACAAGGUAUUACCUAGGGAGACUGGGAUCAGAGUCAGGGGAUGGAAAGUAGGAGUGGAUGGGUGCGGGGGUUAUAGGGUGCAUUGGGGUUGGUUACAGUAAGGCAUUAGGGUGGAGGAAUUGUAUAUCUUCAGGUACUUCUGUGCUGUGUAAAAUGAAAUAAAUGUUCACAAAAAU